rnacentral:rRNA from 1 species
GCGGCAGGCCUAACACAUGCAAGUCGAGCGGUAGCACAGAGAGCUUGCUCUCGGGUGACGAGCGGCGGACGGGUGAGUAAUGUCUGGGAAACUGCCUGAUGGAGGGGGAUAACUACUGGAAACGGUAGCUAAUACCGCAUAACGUCGCAAGACCAAAGUGGGGGACCUUCGGGCCUCAUGCCAUCAGAUGUGCCCAGAUGGGAUUAGCUAGUAGGUGGGGUAACGGCUCACCUAGGCGACGAUCCCUAGCUGGUCUGAGAGGAUGACCAGCCACACUGGAACUGAGACACGGUCCAGACUCCUACGGGAGGCAGCAGUGGGGAAUAUUGCACAAUGGGCGCAAGCCUGAUGCAGCCAUGCCGCGUGUGUGAAGAAGGCCUUCGGGUUGUAAAGCACUUUCAGCGGGGAGGAAGGCGUUAAGGUUAAUAACCUUGGCGAUUGACGUUACCCGCAGAAGAAGCACCGGCUAACUCCGUGCCAGCAGCCGCGGUAAUACGGAGGGUGCAAGCGUUAAUCGGAAUUACUGGGCGUAAAGCGCACGCAGGCGGUCUGUCAAGUCGGAUGUGAAAUCCCCGGGCUCAACCUGGGAACUGCAUUCGAAACUGGCAGGCUAGAGUCUUGUAGAGGGGGGUAGAAUUCCAGGUGUAGCGGUGAAAUGCGUAGAGAUCUGGAGGAAUACCGGUGGCGAAGGCGGCCCCCUGGACAAAGACUGACGCUCAGGUGCGAAAGCGUGGGGAGCAAACAGGAUUAGAUACCCUGGUAGUCCACGCCGUAAACGAUGUCGAUUUGGAGGUUGUGCCCUUGAGGCGUGGCUUCCGGAGCUAACGCGUUAAAUCGACCGCCUGGGGAGUACGGCCGCAAGGUUAAAACUCAAAUGAAUUGACGGGGGCCCGCACAAGCGGUGGAGCAUGUGGUUUAAUUCGAUGCACGCGAGACUUACCUGGUCUUGACAUCCACAGAACUUUCCAGAGAUGGAUUGGUGCCUUCGGSAACUGUGAGACAGGUGCUGCAUGGCUGUCGUCAGCUCGUGUUGUGAAAUGUUGGGUUAAGUCCCGCAACGAGCGCAACCCUUAUCCUUUGUUGCCAGCGGUUCGGCCGGGAACUCAAAGGAGACUGCCAGUGAUAAACUGGAGGAAGGUGGGGAUGACGUCAAGUCAUCAUGGCCCUUACGACCAGGGCUACACACGUGCUACAAUGGCAUAUACAAAGAGAAGCGACCUCGCGAGAGCAAGCGGACCUCAUAAAGUAUGUCGUAGUCCGGAUUGGAGUCUGCAACUCGACUCCAUGAAGUCGGAAUCGCUAGUAAUCGUAGAUCAGAAUGCUACGGUGAAUACGUUCCCGG